rnacentral:misc_RNA from 1 species
GGCUGAGCGAUCGAGUUAGUCAGCUCGAGGCGCGGUUUGAUCGGCUGAGUAGUGCGAAGGUUAGUGGCUAUGGCGAUCGCAAGUACACAUGGACGAAGGAAAUCAAAGGAGUGGAGAAGAACGACGUCGAUCGGAAGUAUAAGUUGGUAGCUGAGAUCAAAGAUGGGAAGAAGAACAAGGAGGGAAAGAAUGGUGGGGUUUUGCAGAAUUAUAAGUGGAGCGCUGAGAUUAAAGGAAAGGACGAGAGGGAUCCGAUUAGGAAGUAUACUGUGGAGGUUUCAACUGGAAAUGGAAAUGAGAGUACAGAAAAGAAAGAGGAGAAGAAAAAGAAGGGGAAGAAGGUUGGUAAUGAGACGCGUGUGGUUGAGGUUGAAGACACUGAUGAUCAAGGAGCUGUCGUUUUAAGACAGGCCUUUGCCAAGAGAACUAGAGUUGUGGAAAAUAAGAAGGGUAAGAAGAAGGAGUUGUCUCCUCAAGAUGCAGCUGCUAUCAUUCAAAUUAAUUUCAGAGAAUACCUAAUUCACAGGUCAAAGGUUC